CUGAGUGAGGGUCUCCGACCCGACCUCCAACCCUUUGUGAUUAAACCACUGUUGCCUCGGGGGUGACCCGCGCCCGUCGCGGGCGCCCCCGGUGGACCACAUCAAAACACUGCAUCUAUGCGUCGGAUAAACAAGUUUAAUUUGAUUA
rnacentral:misc_RNA from 1 species